CGCGCAGGCGGCCGAUUAAGUCGGGGGUGAAAGCCUGUGGCUCAACCACAGAAUUGCCUUCGAUACUGGUUGGCUUGAGACCGGAAGAGGACAGCGGAACUGCGAGUGUAGGGGUGAAAUUCGUAGAUAUUCGCAAGAACACCAGUGGCGAAGGCGGCUGUCUGGUCCGGUUCUGACGCUGAGGCGCGAAAGCGUGGGGAGCAAACA
rnacentral:rRNA from 1 species